rnacentral:rRNA from 1 species
GACGAACCGUGCGAACGUUGUUCGGAAUCAUCUGGGACGUUAAAGGGCGCGUAGGCGGCUUGCCAAGUCAAGUGGUCGGAAAUCCCCACAGCUUAACUGUGGAAGUGCCUUUGAUACUGGCGAAGCUCGAGGGAGGUAGGGGUAUGUGGAACUUCUGGUGGAGCGGUGAAAAUGCGUUGAUAUCAGAAGGAACGCCGGUGGCGAAAGCGAACGUACUGGACCUCUUCUGACGCUGAGGCGCGAAAAGCUAGGGGGAGCAAAACGGG